CUUUACACACCUGGCUGGUGUAUGGGCUUGGAAUUAUCUUGGUUUGGACACUGAGCUCGAAACAGGUCCAGGGGCUGCAGUGCUAUGGCUGCAAUAUCAUCCAGGGCCAGAGGUACGUGGACGUGGGCUGCUCCAACCCAGAGGUCAUCACCUGCACCCACUCACACAAAGGCUUCAAACACCGUUUCUGCAUCAAGACAGAGAGCACGGCCCUGGGUAUCGUCCUGACCAGCGGUUGUGCCACAUCCAGACACUGCCAGCAACACGAGCUGCCAGGGGUGCGCAUCCACUGCUGUGACUCAGACCUAUGUAACAGCGCCCCCGCAUGGCAUCCUUGCACAC